CCGUCCCGCCCCGUGGACGCCCUGACCAUUCCGUCGCGGUCCCGGCUACCCUUGCGGCGUGCGCCUGCUGCGGACCGUUCCGCGUAGGGCGCAAAGCCGACAGCCGUCGCACUCCAGGGAGCCCCUUCAUG
rnacentral:sRNA from 1 species